rnacentral:lncRNA from 1 species
CACAGCUGGCAUGGAGCACGCAGGCACUCCAGGGCAUACAUGUGCUGAGAAGCGGGUUAGAAUGCAGACAGGACUGAGGAGGGCUUCAGAGACCAGCGACUUGGCAAGCAAGUGAGAGAGAAAGAGAAACCAAGGAGGAGUUUAUCUUUAAAACAAAAUCUCCCUCAGAGUUUUAGAAGCACAUGGAAGAAGACAGUUGUAACGGCCAGGCAUGCGGUGCACAUCUCUAAUCCCACCUCUUAGAAAAUACUUGUCA